AGAAUUAGGGGUGUUUGGUCUAGCUAUUCAAAAGUGAUUCUGAACCCAAAAUCACUUUUGAGCUCAGUAGAGCGUUUGGGAAUGAUAUUCUAAAAAUUUGAUUCUGUUUUUUAAAAUCACAAAACUGAUUUUGAAGGCUCCAGAAUUAAAAGCAGAAAAAAGCCGCUUCUCAAAAACUUAUUCUGAUUUUGAACUCAAACUUCUAAUUUUUAUUUUUAUUUUAGAUUCAAAGUAUAAAUUUAACAUUAAAUUUAAAUUUUGAAAUCUUAAAUUCAUAUUUAAAUUUUUAAAUCUCAACUUUUCAAAUUUAAAAUUUAAAAUUUAGAUUUAAAAUUUUAAAUUUAAGUUUCAAAUCACAAAUUUUCAAAUUUAAAAAUUUAAACUUAAAUUUCAAAAUUCAAAAUUUUAAAUUUUAUAUUUUAAAUUUUAAAUUUUAGUUUCAAAUCACAAAUUUUCAAAUUUAAAAAUUUAAACUUAAAUUUCAAAAUUCAAAAUUUUAAAUUUUAAAAUUUCAAAUUUAAAAUUUUAUUUUAUUCUUAAAUUUAAAAAUUCAAAUUUUAAAUUUUAAAUUUAAAAUUUAAAAUUUUAAAUUUUGACGAAUUUCAAAUUAUUUUUGUACAAGUUUGAAAUUUAAAAAUUAUACUUUUAAUUAAAAUUUAAAAUUUAAAUUAUUUUAAAAAUAAAAUUUAGUAAAAAUAUUAAUAUAUGCAAAAUCAAAAUUUUUUUGCCAAACAGCUUUAGAAAAUCAUUUCAGAAAAAUCACUUUUUUCUAAAUUCAACCAAACGCUUUAUAGCUUUUCACAAAAAUUAAUUCUCCAAACUAAAAUCACUUUUACAUAAAUCACUUUUCUAAAAGCUAGGCCAAACAGGCCCUUAAUUGUCCCAUCAAUCUCUACCUUUAUAUAUUUUGUUUGCGUUGAUUCUUAAUCUCUUCACCUAUAUACAGAUCCAUCGACUCAAGCUUAAUCUCGCCCCUGUCAUCUUCGUCUACGCCCAUUUUUACCUCACACACGAAUGCUGACCAUGAUCACCCGUUAGAUAAUAUACUAUUCAACCACCCAUCCACUUAAUCUUAGGGGAUCACUAACAUUCUAACCGUACAUCCCUUCAUCCAAGGGGCAAAAACCGAAUAGUAUCAAUGAUUUAGUGAUAUAUAUAUAUAUAUAUAUAGAGAGAGAGAGAGAGAGAGAAAGAGAGAGAGAGAGAGAGAGAGAGAGAGAGAGAGUAGGGCUGUUGUGCUCUCAGGAGCACGGAGGCCGUGCUCCUGAGCCGUUUUCGAUGAUGGAGUUUCUGAAUCGACGAUCGGCUCCGUUAAACUUGAUCUAGCAUAUUUGAAGCUUCUAGGAAAUAAUUUUUGCGAUUUUUCGAUAUCAUUUACCUAGCAAUCGAAAUGAUUCAAAAUCAAUAAUUUUUAACGGCUGAAAAUAAAAAUCCUAUAAAAAGUGGUGAUAUAGCACUAAAAUUUUCGAUCGAAAAUAUUGAUCUUGUUGUAGAUAGUAUAAAGAAUUUUGUAUCAAAAUUUCAUUUGAUUUGAAUACUUUUACACCGUUAAACUUGAAAACGGCAUAUAUCAACCGUUAAAAAUUAUGGAUUUUGAAUCCUUUCGAUCACUAGGUAAAUGAUAUCAAAAAAUUAUAAAAAUUANUUU
rnacentral:lncRNA from 1 species